rnacentral:rRNA from 1 species
AGAACGAACGCUGGCGGCAGGCUUAACACAUGCAAGUCGAACGCUUCACCCUCGGGUGGAGAGUGGCAGACGGGUGAGUAACACGUGGGAACGUACCCCUUUGUUCGGAAUAACCCUGGGAAACUAGGGCUAAUACCGGAUACGGCCGAGAGGCGAAAGGUUUACCGCAGAGGGAUCGGCCCGCGUCCGAUUAGCUAGUUGGUGAGGUAACGGCUCACCAAGGCAUCGAUCGGUAGCUGGUCUGAGAGGAUGACCAGCCACAUUGGGACUGAGACACGGCCCAAACUCCUACGGGAGGCAGCAGUGGGGAAUAUUGGACAAUGGGCGCAAGCCUGAUCCAGCCAUGCCGCGUGAGUGAUGAAGGCCUUAGGGUUGUAAAGCUCUUUUACCUGGGAAGAUCAUGACGGUACCAGGAGAAUAAGCCCCGGCUAACUUCGUGCCAGCAGCCGC